rnacentral:rRNA from 1 species
AUGGUUGUGACUUCCACUGUUAGUGCAUUUGAUUGCUCUGCUAAGUCCCUUCUAUUAGAUUUCUUGUUUAUUUUUUACAUGGUUUACCAACUUUCAGAAGCACAAAUACAUGAACUAUUUGAUUUCAUUGUGGCUGAGUUGGAAAGAUUUGUUGAGACUGAAGGAGAUGAUUUCCACUUGCCUGUGGGCAGGCAUAGGGAACUGGGUUUCACCUUUCCUUUCGUAUUACACCAAACCUUGAUAUCGUCAGGCACCAUCGUUAAGUGGAAAAAGGGAUUUUGCAUCAAUGGAAUGGUAAAAAUCAAAUGA